CAGUGCCUGAUCAGGAGUUGUGAGAGAAUGGAGACGAAUCUCCGGGCAACAGCCAAUCGGAACGCAGGAUUUGUAUUCAAUGUUGGGUUCGCGCUAAGUUCAAAUGCAUAGACCGUGACUCGUGAGCGACUUAAACUAUAAAGCAAGCAAGAACAACUAUUUUUUUACGCUUCGGUUCUCUGAAAAACCUUCAAAAUAAAAAGGGGAUCUUCAUGGUACCUUAAGUCCUGCUUGCAAAAUGGACACAGGAAACGACGGAUCAGGUUUGGAGCUCAGCCACAUGCGAAACUGCGGGUCUAGUUGAGUCUCGGAGUGAGAUAUCCUAAAACGACAACAAUGACAUAUGAGAGUCAGGAUGGGAUAUCUUUUUUUCUUCAGGAAUACCUCUUGCCUUUGGUCCCAAGGUCAACGCAGAUGAUUCAGGACUUACCUUCUGAUAAUUUGCUGUAGCCUGGGCAUGAAGGAGGCCGCGUGCUGGCAGUUCUGCAGGAAUACCCACUUGCCCUUCUGUUGAUAUGCCUUGUUGAUUACCUCCUCGGCUCGAGGUCCCUGGCCACGCCCUAAUGAGAUCAUGUCAAGAUGUAGGGUUGUGCCCCUCAACUCGUGGGCGAAGCGAAGAAGCUGAGACGCGGGAUCGGAGCCUGUUGGACAAAAGAAGAGAGGCAGUAAGAUAAGGCAUUUUAGAUCGUUGUAAUGUUUGUUGAAGACUCAACAACGUGAGCGAAAACGAUGUUCAACGUGGUCACAGAGUGCUACCUACGGCUAAGCCAACUUGUUGCGUAUUUUACCCGGAAGGAUUUUCGACUGGUAGAUAAAUUAAAGCAUUGCAUUACAUAUUAAGCCGGGUUUUUACUAGGGAAAAAACGGAGAGCGUAAGAGCUUACGCGCGUGUGAAAAUCAAACAGAAUGGAGAAAAUGCAAUGCUAAUUUGGCCAUGUUUUGGCCAACAAAUUUUUGUCUUUUAUAGUUGUCAAUAAAGCUUCUCUGCACCGCGCAUGCAGUUUCUUAGAGUCCACCACAUUCUGAAGAUCCAAAUUAUGCUGUUGGGGCUGGAACAUAAAUUUUGCAUAAAAUGUUUACCUGGCGAAAGUAUGAAAAUGAGAGGCGUGCGCGCAUUGGAUUCGUCGUACAUCUCCUGCAAGUCGAAACCAACUGUUGUGAUAAACUUGGUUCCCAUCUCUUCCUCCACGAACUGGCGUACGGACUUGAUAAGACAUUCAGGGCGCAAGAUCUUCACAAGCAUCAGACGUUGGAAUCGGGUUAGCGACGUGCACAGCCAACCUACGCUAGAGCAUCAAGAGGAUCAUCCUCCUUGUCGAUAUCAAUCCUGUCAGAUAUGGCAGCCACAGUAGACCCCCUCAGAAA